UAAUAAGUAUUUUUAUUAAAUCUUACUUAUCUAAAUUGAACACUUGUGAAGUUCUGCAUGAUGAACCAAUAAGGGAAGAACUGUCUUCUCUUUCUUCUCAUCGCCCAUUGUUUCCUUCUUCAAUUCUAUCUCUCUAAGCUUCUUCAAGUGUUUCACAAAAACGAAUCUACUUCAUCGCAUCAUCGUCUUUUCUACGCUACUCAACUUCUACAACACUCAGAUCCGCACUUCACAGUUAGUGUAACAGAUUCUGCCACAAUUUCGUAUCGAUUUUGUUUUGCAAUCGCUUAUCAUUUUCUGUUGCAGGUGAUGGCUUCUUCUGUUCUCUCCGCAGCUUUGAACUCUCUCUCUCCCUCUUAUUCUCUCUCCUCGCGCCAAACCCACAAGGUACCUCUUUCGCAUUGUUCCCACAUUGGUUUUAACGAUUACCCUUUUUUGAUUUGACGUUGCUGUCAAACAGGGGAAGCCCAAGAUUGGAGGCAACGCUUUGAGAUUUAACAAGUCCUUCCCAAAUGCAAGGGUAUGUUCUAAAAACUAAAUCUUUGUUGCUUCAAUUUUAUUCAUUUGUUUUUGUUUUGCUUUGGUUGGUUCAUUUUUUAUUCGUUAUUACUUUAUGAUCAAUUGGGUAGGUCUAUUGGGAAGCUAAGUUGGUUUUGGUUUUCUGCAUGUGACAUCUCUCGUGGUUUGUCAGGUGUCGAUGUCUCUAUACUGACCUUAAAAUCAAAAGUCUGACAUAGAGACACUUGAAUGGACUCAAAUCAAACUUUUUGAAUUUAGGAGAUUAAUGAGAUGAGAGAU
rnacentral:lncRNA from 1 species